UACGUAGGCAGCGAGCGUUGUUCGGAGUUACUGGGCGUAAGGCGUGCGUAGGCGGUUGUCUAAGUUUGGUGUGAAAUCUCCUGGCUUAACUGGGAGGGUGCGCCGAAAACUGGGUGACUGGAGUGUCGGAGAGGUAAGCGGAAUUCCUGGUGUAGCGGUGAAAUGCGUAGAGAUCAGGAGGAACACCUGUGGUGUAGACAGCUUACUGGACGAUAACUGACGCUGAGGCACGAAAGCGUGGGUAGAAAACAGG
rnacentral:rRNA from 1 species